rnacentral:tRNA from 1 species
ACCUGGAUAGCUCGGUUGGUUAGAGUGUGGCGCUGGUAACACCAAGGUUGCAGGUUCUAUCCCCGUAAGGGA